rnacentral:rRNA from 1 species
AAACUGCUAGACUAGAGUAUGGCAGGGGUAGAGGGAAUUUCUAGUGUAGCGGUGAAAUGCGUAGAUAUUAGAAAGAACACCGGUGGCGAAAGCGCUCUACUGGACCAUUACUGACACUCAGAGGCGAAAGCUAGGGUAGCAAAAGGGAUUAGAUACCCCCUGUAGUCCUAGCCGUAAACGAUGGAUACUACAUGUUGUGCAUUAUGUACAGUAUGGUAGCUAACGCGUUAAGUAUCCCGCCUGGGGAGUACGCUCGCAAGGGUGAAACUCAAAGGAAUUGACGGGGGCCCGCACAAGCGGUGGAGCAUGUGGUUUAAUUCGAUGCAACGCGAAGAACCUUACCAGGACUUGACAUACUACAAAUUCUUUUGAGAAAAAGAAGUGCCUUCGGGAAUGUAGAUACAGGUGGUGCAUGGCUGUCGUCAGCUCGUGUCGUGAGAUGUUGGGUUAAGUCCCGCAACGAGCGCAACCCUUAUUUUUAGUUACCAAUUCGUUGGGUUCUCUAGAAAGACUGCCGGUGACAAACCGGAGGAAGGUGAGGAUGACGUCAAGUCAGCAUGCCCCUUAUGUCCUGGGCUACACACGUGCUACAAUGGUUAAGACAAAGAGUCGCGAGCUCGUAAGAGUCAGCUAAUCUCAUAAACUUAGCCCAAGUUCAGAUUGUAGGCUGCAACUCGCCUACAUGAAGUUGGAAUCGCUAGUAAUCGCUGGUCAGCCAUACAGCGGUGAAUCCGUUCCCGGGCCUUGUACACACCGCCCGUCACACCAUGGGAGCUGGUCAUACCCGAAACCGUUUGCUUAACCAUUCGGAGAGCGGCGUCUAAGGUAGGGCUAGUGACUGGGGUGAAGUCGUAACAAGGUAACCG